rnacentral:tRNA from 1 species
AGUUUAAUAGUUUAAAUAAAAUAUUAGGUUGCAAAUUUAAAGUUUUAAAUUAAUAUUUAAUUAAACUU